rnacentral:rRNA from 1 species
GAUGAACGCUGGCGGCGUGCCUAAUACAUGCAAGUCGAGCGAAUGGAUUAAGAGCUUGCUCUUAUGAAGUUAGCGGCGGACGGGUGAGUAACACGUGGGUAACCUGCCCAUAAGACUGGGUUAACUCCGGGAAACCGGGGCUAAUACCGGAUAACAUUUUGAACAGCAUGGUUCGAAAUUGAAAGGCGGCUUCGGCUGUCACUUAUGGAUGGACCCGCGUCGCAUUAGCUAGUUGGUGAGGUAACGGCUCACGAAGGCAACGAUGCGUAGCCGACCUGAGAGGGUGAUCGGCCACACUGGGACUGAGACACGGCCCAGACUCCUACGGGAGGCAGCAGUAGGGAAUCUUCCGCAAUGGACGAAAGUCUGACGGAGCAACGCCGCGUGAGUGAUGAAGGCUUUCGGGUCGUAAAACUCUGUUGUUAGGGAAGAACAAGUGCUAGUUGAAUAAGCUGGCACCUUGACGGUACCUAACCAGAAAGCCACGGCUAACUACGUGCCAGCAGCCGCAGUAA